rnacentral:rRNA from 1 species
AGACGUUUGAUCCUGGCUCAGGAUGAACGCUAGCGGCAGGCUUAAUACAUGCAAGUCGUGGGGCAGCAGCUCUGUAGCAAUACAGAGUGCUGGCGACCGGCAAACGGGUGCGGAACACGUACGCAAUCUACCCAAAACUGGUGAAUAGCCCUCCGAAAGGAGGAUUAAUACACCGUAACCUCUUAAAGUGGCAUCACUUUAUUAGUAUAGCUCCGGCGGUUUUGGAUGAGCGUGCGGCUGAUUAGAUAGUUGGCGGGGCAACGGCCCACCGAGUCUGCGAACAGUAACUGGUGUGAGAGCACGACCAGUCACACGGGCACUGAGACACGGGCCCGACUCCUACGGGAGGCAGCAGUAAGGAAUAUUGGUCAAUGGACGCAAGUCUGAACCAGCCAUGCCGCGUGAAGGAUGAAGGUCCUCUGGAUUGUAAACUUCUUUUAUAGGGGACGAAACCUCUUUUUCUAAAGAGACUGACGGUACCCUAGGAAUAAGCACCGGCUAACUCCGUGCCAGCAGCCGCGGCAAUACGGAGGGUGCAAGCGUUACCCGGAUUCACUGGGUUUAAAGGGUGCGUAGGAGGGCAGGUAAGUCAGUGGAUGAAAUCUCCAAGCUUAACUUGGAAACUGCGUUGAUACAUAUCUGUCUUGAAUACCGUGGAAGGUGAGCGGAAUAAUGUCA